rnacentral:rRNA from 1 species
GAUGAACGCUGGCGGCGUGCCUAAUACAUGCAAGUCGAGCGAACAGACGAGGAGCUUUCUCCUCUGACGUUAGCGGCGGAUGGGUGAGUAACACUGGGAUAACCUACCUAUAAGACUGGGAUAACUUCGGGAAACCGGCGCUAAUACCGGAUAAUAUAUUGAACCGCAUGGUUCAAUAGUGAAAGACGGUUUUGCUUUCACUUAUAGAUGGAUCCGCGCCGCAUUAGCUAGUUGGUAGGGUAACUGCUUACCAAGGCAACGAUGCGUAGCCGACCUGAGAGGGUGAUCCGCCAGACUGGAACUGAGACACGGUCCAGACUCCUACGGGAGGCAGCAGUAGGGAAUCUUCCGCAAAGGGCGAAAGCCUGACGGAGCAACGCCGCGUGAGUGAUGAAGGACUUCGGAUCGGAAAACUAUGUUAUUAGGGAAGAACAAAUGUUUAAGUAACUAUGCACGUCUUGACGGUACCUAAUCAGAAAGCCACGGCUAACUACGUG